rnacentral:rRNA from 1 species
GACGAACGCUGGCGGCGUGCUUAACACAUGCAAGUCGAACGGAAAGGCCCUGCUUUUGUGGGGUGCUCGAGUGGCGAACGGGGGAGUAACACGUGAGUAACCUGCCCUUUACUUUGGGAUAACUUCAGGAAACUGGGGCUAAUACCGGAUAGGAGCUCCUGCUGCAUGGUGGGGGUUGGAAAGUUUCGGCGGUGGGGGAUGGACUCGCGGCUUAUCAGCUUGUUGGUGGGGUAGUGGCUUACCAAGGCUUUGACGGGUAGCCGGCCUGAGAGGGUGACCGGCCACAUUGGGACUGAGAUACGGCCCAGACUCCUACGGGAGGCAGCAGUGGGGAAUAUUGCACAAUGGGCGGAAGCCUGAGGCAGCAACGCCGCGUGCGGGAUAACGGCCUUCGGGUAGUAAACCGCUUUCGCCUGUGACGAAGCGUGAGUGACGGUAAUGGGUAAAGAAGCACCGGCUAACUACGUG